GAUGAACGCUGGCGGCGUGUCUAAUACAUGCAAGUCGAGCGAACAGACGAGGAGCUUGCUCCUCUGACGUUAGCGGCGGACGGGUGAGUAACACGUGGAUAACCUACCUAUAAUACUGGGAUAACUUCGGGAAACCGCAGCUAAUACCGGAUAAUAUAUUCAACCGCAUGGUUCAAUAGUGAAAGACGGUUUUGCUGUCACUUAUAGAUGGAUCCGCGCCGCAUUAGCUAGUUGGUAAGGUAACGGCUUACCAAGGCGACGAUGCGUAGCCGACCUGAGAGGGUGAUCAGCCACACUGGAACUGAGACACGGUCCAGACUCCUACGGGAGGCAGCAGUAGGGAAUCUUCGGCAAAGGGCGAAAGCCUGACGGAGCAACGCCGCGUGAGUGAUGAAGGUCUUCGGAUCGUAAAACUCUGUUAUUAGGGAAGAAAAAAUGUGUAAGUAACUAUGCACGUCUUGACGGUACCUAAUCAGAAAGCCACGGCUAACUACGUG
rnacentral:rRNA from 1 species